rnacentral:lncRNA from 1 species
CCGCGCGGCGCUGGCCGCUUCGCUGCAGCCGGGGCUUCGGCGGGGCUGCGGGAGCCGCGCUGGCCGGGCCGCGGCUCCGCCUGUCCUCACCUGCCCGCCCGCCUCACCGCGGAUGGCGCCGGCGACCGGGGCUGCGGGGUGCGCGCGGGCUGCUCGGAGGCGCUGUGGCGGGCGAGGGCGCGGGUGGCUGGAGCACCCGGCCCGCGGCAAGGACCGGCUGGCGGCAGGCGGGGCGCGCGGAGCCCGGGGCUCGGCCGAGACGGAGCGAAAGAGAAACGCAGCUCGGAACUGGCCCUUUAAGAAAACAUUCCGUGUUCGGCGCUCCCGCCCGGGGCCCGCACCCCGGACACUUUAAAAGGACCCAGGUGGCCCCGGAGGCGAGGUGACUAUCCCCCCACCCUGCCCCUGCGUCGCGGCGCGUCGCGCUGCUGCUCCCGCCCCAGCCGGGGCCGAAGAUGGGGCGGCGGCUGCGGUUUUCCACACGACUUCCUUGGAUCUCGGGGCACACGCGCCGAUAGUUCGGACGCGAGUCCGGGCUGGUUUUGCUCCGUUUUACUGCGUUUGAUUACUAAUUUAAAAGCUUUGCGUUCCCCGUCGCCCCGGCCCGCUUUUCUCCUGCAUUCUCCCCUCGGCCCCCGUCCCCGCCCUGCGAUCGCUGGAGGGGGCGUCGGGGCUCGCGCGCCAGAACCCGGCUCCUCCGAAGCCCCCUCCGGGCCCCACCGCCCCCCUCGCGCCUCCCGGCCCCCGCCUCCUCCCCUUCGCCCCCACCCAACGGCUGCUGCUUCGGGCUUCGCGGCUCAAAAACAACAGCGGAGGCGCCGCCAGCUCCGCGCUCCGCCACUGCCCAGGCCGGCGGGCGGCACUCGGACCCGCCGCCCUCGGUCCCUCGCGAGGCCACGGAGGCCAACACGCCUCGCACGGGGGGACAGCGCGGGGGCAGCCGUCCAAACACCAGGCGUCCUCGGCUGGUCGUCCCAGGGCGCCCGCACCUCUCCGCCCGCGCUCUCCUGCCGCCGCGCCCCCAAGCCCCCAAACUCCGAGGCGCUGCGGCGGAGGGGCCGGGCUGAGCGCAGGCAGGGUGGCCCGGGCCCAGGAGCCUGACGGCCUGAGUGCGGAUUUCUCAUCUGAGUAUCUGGGAAUCGAGAAUGAAUUGGAAGGAAACCGAGGCGCUGCCCUGGCCAGGUUGCUGCCCCGCACCCUUCCGGAGCACCGAAGUCCUGCCCGGCAACGGGACUUGGAGCUGCCGCAGAGUCAGCCUGAGCCCGAGGCAGGGGUCGCGCCCGCGAUGCGGGGUCUCUGCGCCGCCCCGCGAGGCUCCUGGCCUUGCCCUCCCUGCCCUUUGUUGUGUAAUAAGACCUGUGGCGGCUCCACUGAGACCCACACGUGCAACUCCGCGCCUCCGCGUUAAAGGAGGUGAAACGCAGCAGCCCUGAGAAACCCCGAGACCCCGGUGUCCUAGCAGAGGCGCCCCGGAUGGGGAGGGGCGCGGGGCCGGCGCCACCCCAGAGGAAAAGCCCAGCGGAGCCGGGUUGGGCAGGAGCUGGCGGCGGCGGUGCGCUGGGCCUUCUGCCUUGGAUCCUCCGCGGUCGGCACCGCUUCCCUGCUCAGAUUCGAACCCAGAUUCGGCUCCCAAGGCUCCCACGGCUCCAGGGUGCCCAGUCUUGCAGCCAGCUCGCCGCCCGAGCCCCGGAUGGAGGAAGCGCUCACUGGCCGCUACCUCUGCUGUUUCUGGCACCAGAUGGGCAGCUUCCGGGGACCGGCUUGCACGAUGCCGUGGCCACCCCAGUGGAGAC